AAAACUGAGGAAGAAAACUGACAAGGUUUUCAAGGGAAUUUCCAGGCUGAGAAUCUACGAUGGCCAGUGAGCUGGUAUGAUUCAUACGAAGUUCCAUGUCUCACUUAUCUCUCCAAAUCAUGGUUCUUCACGAGGGAGCCCUUCUUCAGGCUGUUCUUCCGCUCCACGUAGUUGGACGGUACAUAGCCCGUCCUGUUGGCCGCGUUCCUCACCCGCCACCACGUCUUGGAGUCGUCCAGCAACCACAGCCGCUCGUUCUUCUUGAUGUCCAGCUCCUGGUCCUGCUGGGCGGUGUAGUCCCACUUGGCUAUCACAAUAACUUCUUCUGUCAUCUUUCAUGGAGUCCUUCUGCCAGCAAAACAUUUGGAGAUGCUCAUUAGAGAACUACCCGGACACUUCAUCCUUUGCACCAACUUGAAAAAUUAGGCACUGACAGCUUUUAUUACAACUCUGCAACCAGUUUUCUCCUGGGUCUUGAAAUGCUCAACUUUAAAAUGACCUUCUUUCAACAAGCUUUAGUAUUUGGUUUAGAAACAGCAACCUUAUAAAACAAAUCUUAUGUUACUGUUUGCUGUACAUGGGGAAAUCUGACCCUCUAACAAAAACAAACUUGAAAAAAAUUCUAAAUAACAUUAUAAUUAAAUGAGUCCAUUUCAUUAAGUAACACUGCCUCCUGAUAACUGUUAGGUUGACACUCAUUUUCUCAGGAUAUGCUGUGUCUUAUAAACAUAUUUAAUAAGUCAACAUAACCAAACUACUCCUAUAAAUUAAAAUUAACAUUGUACUAAUAACAAGGUGGUAUCCUGGAUUGGAUCAUGAAACAGAAAAAGAAAAUUAAUGGAAAUACUGGUGAAAUCAAAAUAAAGUCUAAGAAUAAUAAUAACAAUAAAUAA
rnacentral:lncRNA from 10 species